rfam:Culex pipiens quinquefasciatus supercont3.207 genomic scaffold, whole genome shotgun sequence.
GUGGCCGAAUGGUAACGCUGUCCGCUUAGUAAGCGGAAGAUCAUGGGAUCGAUUCCCAUC